rnacentral:rRNA from 1 species
GACGAACGCUGGCGGCGUGCUUAACACAUGCAAGUCGAACGGAAAGGCCCUGCUUUUGUGGGGUGCUCGAGUGGCGAACGGGUGAGUAACACGUGAGUAACCUGCCCUUGACUUUGGGAUAACUUCAGGAAACUGGGGCUAAUACCGGAUAGGAGCUCCUGCUGCAUGGUGGGGGUUGGAAAGUUUCGGCGGUUGGGGAUGGACUCGCGGCUUAUCAGCUUGUUGGUGGGGUAGUGGCUUACCAAGGCUUUGACGGGUAGCCGGCCUGAGAGGGUGACCGGCCACAUUGGGACUGAGAUACGGCCCAGACUCCUACGGGAGGCAGCAGUGGGGAAUAUUGCACAAUGGGCGGAAGCCUGAUGCAGCAACGCCGCGUGCGGGAUGACGGCCUUCGAGUUGUAAACCGCUUUCGCCUGUGACGAAGCGUGAGUGACGGUAAUGGGUAAAGAAGCACCGGCUAACUACGUGCCAGCAGCCGCGGUGAUACGUAGGGUGCGAGCGUUGUCCGGAUUUAUUGGGCGUAAAGGGCUCGUAGGUGGUUGAUCGCGUCGGAAGUGUAAUCUUGGGGCUUAACCCUGAGCGUGCUUUCGAUACGGGUUGACUUGAGGAAGGUAGGGGAGAAUGGAAUUCCUGGUGGAGCGGUGGAAUGCGCAGAUAUCAGGAGGAACACCAGUGGCGAAGGCGGUUCUCUGGGCCUUUCCUGACGCUGAGGAGCGAAAGCGUGGGGAGCGAACAGGCUUAGAUACCCUGGUAGUCCACGCUGUAAACGGUGGGUACUAGGUGUGGGGUCCAUUCCACGGGUUCCGUGCCGUAGCUAACGCUUUAAGUACCCCGCCUGGGGAGUACGGCCGCAAGGCUAAAACUCAAAGGAAUUGACGGGGCCCCGCACAAGCGGCGGAGCAUGCGGAUUAAUUCGAUGCAACGCGUAGAACCUUACCUGGGUUUGACAUGGAUCGGGAGCGCUCAGAGAUGGGUGUGCCUCUUUUGGGGUCGGUUCACAGGUGGUGCAUGGCUGUCGUCAGCUCGUGUCGUGAGAUGUUGGGUUAAGUCCCGCAACGAGCGCAACCCUUGUUCACUGUUGCCAGCACGUUAUGGUGGGGACUCAGUGGAGACCGCCGGGGUCAACUCGGAGGAAGGUGGGGAUGACGUCAAGUCAUCAUGCCCCUUAUGUCCAGGGCUUCACGCAUGCUACAAUGGCUGGUACAGAGAGUGGCGAGCCUGUGAGGGUGAGCGAAUCUCGGAAAGCCGGUCUCAGUUCGGAUUGGGGUCUGCAACUCGACCUCAUGAAGUCGGAGUCGCUAGUAAUCGCAGAUCAGCAACGCUGCGGUGAAUACGUUCCCGGGGCU